rnacentral:rRNA from 1 species
UACGGAGGGAGCUAGCGUUAUUCGGAAUUACUGGGCGUAAAGCGCACGUAGGCGGCUUUGUAAGUCAGAGGUGAAAGCCCGGGGCUCAACUCCGGAAUUGCCUUUAAGACUGCAUCGCUUGAAUCCGGGAGAGGUGAGUGGAAUUCCGAGUGUAGAGGUGAAAUUCGUAGAUAUUCGGAAGAACACCAGUGGCGAAGGCGGCUCGCUGGACCGGCAUUGACGCUGAGGUGCGAAAGCGUGGGGAGCAAACAGG